GGACUGGAAGGAUUCCCCAGGGCACUCUGGGCAGCAUCAAGUAUUCUGAGAUGAAUAGACACACACCAAGAGAAAGAGAAGAUGUCUCAAAGUUUCAGGUACUUGAGGUAAUCCCUACCAGAAAGGGAAUUCAAGCCAGAGUGACCUUGAAGCUAGGAUUGCAGAAAUGAUGUUGUAGCCAGCCACCUCAAAAGGAAACCCCAAAGAAUCCAGGGGUGCUUUUUCCCUUCUAGCAUCUUGCUUCCCACCUACCACUCCCUCCUUAGUCACUCCAAGAACAUCUCCAUUUGAUUCAUGGGGAGCCUUGUUUGUGUUGGACUCUGUUGCUUUCUGAUGUUUACCUGCUCCAGGCAGCACCACCUGGUUAGAGUUCUUCAUUCUGAGGAUGCUGUUCAUCUCCCAUUUCCCAUUCAAGGAGCCCUGGCAGAUGUUUCUGCUGGGUGACCAUGUGUGGUUACUGCAGAGAUUCAAUCAGGAUAAAACUAUGUCACAUUACAUAUACCAAUCCUCAUAGCUCUAAAGCCAGACUGACUAAGGGAAUCUUGAAAUUAAUAUCUCCAACAAAAAAGAAUGUGAGUUGAUUUGAGGAAUUUCUAUUUCUUCCAUUCCCCUUGUAUCAUUAUUUUCUUUCUUAUUUUUACAAUCUAGUGUUAAAAGGAAAAUUCCAUGUUUGGGCCCUCAUCCCAAUUGAAUUGGCAAACUCAGGAAGAAAAAAAUAAAAAAGAAGUUUAUUAAAAUCACUAAGGCAGAAAUGUGUUGGUAGGCUGGCUGCUGGGGCCAACACUGGAUUCAAUUUAGGAACUGCUUUUGAAGACAAUUUUUUGUAACAAGAGCAAAACAACCCUGAUAGGUAUAGGUCUCCAAUUGGGGAUGGGCCAUUGCAUCUCAGCUCCUUCCCCAUUGCCCUCAUAUGGAGAGUGGUUUGAAAUUACAAAUGACAAUCUUUGACUGCUAGAUUACUACAAAGGAUGAAGGGAUGGGAUUAAAAGUAUUUGCUGAAGACUGCUUGACAAUAACUGAUUAGCAUACAUGGGAAUCUUUAAACAAGACUAGAAACAAUAGGGUCCCUAGGAUUGAUUCAGAAAAAAUUUCAAUACAAAAUGGUAUUCAACUCCAGAUAACAAUUUUCAGUUUAGAAAAUGCUUUCUUUACAAUAAACCUUUCAUUUGUGUAUUGGGAGUAUCAGUGUUAUUAUUUACUUAUGGGAAAACUGAGAAUCAAAAUGUUUAAUGGUCUUUGAUCAUUCUGCCUUUUAUAGUAUUCAGAAAACUUCUAAUUUGUAGAUUAUAGAUCCCAGAUUUAAUACUAUCAGAUACAGUUUGAGACAUUGUUUGAUAUCUAUGAACUGCCUUGAAACUCCUACUUGUUUUUAGAAAGCUUAGUAGUCAUGAAAAAUCCAUAUUAAG